rnacentral:tRNA from 1 species
CGGGCCGUGGCGCAGCCUGGCUAGCGCGCUUGCUUGGGGUGCAAGAGGUCCCGAGUUCAAAUCUCGGCGGCCCGA